UCCGAAGGGGGCUAGCGUUGCUCGGAAUCACUGGGCGUAAAGGGUGCGUAGGCGGGUCUUUAAGUCAGGGGUGAAAUCCUGGAGCUCAACUCCAGAACUGCCUUUGAUACUGAAGAUCUUGAGUUCGGGAGAGGUGAGUGGAACUGCGAGUGUAGAGGUGAAAUUCGUAGAUAUUCGCAAGAACACCAAUGGCGAAGGCAGCUCGCUGGGACGGUACUGACGCUGAGGCGCGAAAGCGUGGGGAGCAAACAGG
rnacentral:rRNA from 1 species